CACGUAGGGUGCGAGCGUUGUCCGGAAUUAUUGGGCGUAAAGAGCUCGUAGGCGGUUUGUCGCGUCGGCCGUGAAAACUUGGGGCUUAACUCCAAGCUUGCGGUCGAUACGGGCAGACUUGAGUUCGGCAGGGGAGACAGGAAUUCCUGGUGUAGCGGUGAAAUGCGCAGAUAUCAGGAGGAACACCGGUGGCGAAGGCGGGUCUCUGGGCCGAUACUGACGCUGAGGAGCGAAAGCGUGGGGAGCGAACAGG
rnacentral:rRNA from 1 species